rnacentral:rRNA from 1 species
AGGCGGUUAUAGCGGUGGUGUUCCACCUCUUCCCAUUCCGAACAGAGAAGUUAAAGCCCACUUGCGCCGAUGGUACUGCAAUGCAAUGCGGGAGAGUAGGUAGCUGCCU